rnacentral:rRNA from 1 species
AGAGUUUGAUCCUGGCUCAGGAUGAACGCUGGCGGCGUGCUUAACACAUGCAAGUCGAACGAAGCUUGAUGAUUGAUUUCUUCGGGAUGAUUUCUGAUAUGACUUAGUGGCGGACGGGUGAGUAACGCGUGAGGAACCUGCCUUUCAGAGGGGGACAACAUUUGGAAACGAAUGCUAAUACCGCAUAACAUUACCGAGUGGCAUCGCUUGGUAAUCAAAGAUUUAUCGCUGAAAGAUGGUCUCGCGUCCAAUUAGUUAGUUGGCGGGGUAACGGCCCACCAAGACGACGAUUGGUAGCCGGACUGAGAGGUUGAACGGCCACAUUGGGACUGAGACACGGCCCAGACUCCUACGGGAGGCAGCAGUGGGGAAUAUUGCACAAUGGGCGCAAGCCUGAUGCAGCAACGCCGCGUGGAGGAAGACGGUUUUCGGAUUGUAAACUCCUGUUCUUAGUGACGAAGAAGUGACGGUAGCUAAGGAGCAAGCCACGGCUAACUACGUGCCAGCAGCCGCGGUAAUACGUAGGUGGCGAGCGUUAUCCGGAUUUACUGGGUGUAAAGGGAGCGCAGGCGGGAGGACAAGUCAGCUGUGAAAUCUAUGGGCUCAACCCAUAAACUGCAGUUGAAACUGUUCUUCUUGAGUGGAGUAGAGGCAAGCGGAAUUCCGAGUGUAGCGGUGAAAUGCGUAGAUAUUCGGAGGAACACCAGUGGCGAAGGCGGCUUGCUGGGCUCUAACUGACGCUGAGGCUCGAAAGUGUGGGGAGCAAACAGGAUUAGAUACCCUGGUAGUCCACACUGUAAACGAUGAUUACUAGGUGUGGGGGGUCUGACCCCUUCCGUGCCGGAGCUAACGCAAUAAGUAAUCCACCUGGGGAAUACGAUCGCAAGGUUGAAACUCAAAGGAAUUGACGGGGGCCCGCACAAGCAGUGGAUUAUGUGGUUUAAUUCGAAGCAACGCGAAGAACCUUACCAGGUCUUGACAUCCGACUAACGAGAUAGAGAUAUGUUAGGUGCCCUUCGGGGAAAGUCGAGACAGGUGGUGCAUGGUUGUCGUCAGCUCGUGUCGUGAGAUGUUGGGUUAAGUCCCGCAACGAGCGCAACCCUUGUCAUUAGUUGCUACGCAAGAGCACUCUAAUGAGACCGCUACCGACAAGGUGGAGGAAGGUGGGGACGACGUCAAAUCAUCAUGCCCCUUAUGACCUGGGCUACACACGUAAUACAAUGGCCGUCAACAAAGAGAAGCAAUACCGCGAGGUGGAGCGAACCUCAAAAAACGGUCUCAGUUCGGAUUGCAGGCUGCAACUCGCCUGUAUGAAGUUGGAAUUGCUAGUAAUCGCGGAUCAGCAUGCCGCGGUGAAUACGUUCCCGGGCCUUGUACACACCGCCCGUCACACCAUGGGAGUCAGUAACGCCCAAAGUCAGUAGUCUAACCCUCGGGAGGGCGCUGCCUAAGGUGGGACCGACGACUGGGGUGAAGUCGUAACAAGGUA